AUGUAUGUUCGAGACGUUCUUGAACUCCCAAACCCGCCGAGAAAAAAAAAGAAAAAGCCCUCCCCGAUCUUAUCCCCAUGCCCGCUCUACGCCAUCCCCGCCCCCUCGGCACCUUCUAGGCAGCAGGCGCCGCCGCCAGCAACUCCCUCCCCGGCGGUAGGCGCCGCCGCCACCACUUCCCUCCUCGGCAGCAAGCACCGCCGCCCCCAACUUCCUCCAGCAGCAGAAGCGCGGCCGCCCCCAUCUCCCUCCCUAGCAGACGCACCACCGACCUCACCUCCCUCCCCGACAGCCGUGCCGUCGCGACUGCACCUCCUGGCCGGGCCGCUGCACCCCUCCAACCCCCGGCUUGCCGGCGCCGCCCCAUCGGCCACCCCCUGCGGCCCAGCUCAAUCCAGCCCCGCCGGCUUCUACCGUGCGAGCCAACCAGGACACCUCCACCGUGACAGAGACGCCGCCCCGCGCUCCCCACCGGCUUGCCCUCGCUGCCUUCCCUGUGCCCUCAACCGGAGCACCCCAUCGCCGUCCACCGUGGCACCUCGCCACCACUUGCAGAUGGAGGAGGCCUCGGCCUGCAGCUACAGAAGUUCUUGA
rnacentral:rRNA from 1 species